rnacentral:rRNA from 1 species
AUUGAACGCUGGCGGCAGGCCUAACACAUGCAAGUCGAGCGGAGCGGCGGACGGGUGAGUAAUGCCUAGGAAUCUGCCUGGUAGUGGGGGAUAACGUCCGGAAACGGGCGCUAAUACCGCAUACUCUCAGACGAGCCUAGGUCGGUUUAGCUAGUUGGUGGGGUAAAGGCCUACCAAGGCGACGAUCCGUAACUGGUCUGAGAGGAUGAUCAGUCACGCUGGAACGGAUCAACGGUCCAGACUCCUACGGGAGGAAGCAGUGGGGAAUAUUGGACAAUGGGCGAAAGCCUGAUCCAGCCAUGCCGCGUGUGUGAAGAAGGCCUUAGGGUUGUAAAGUACUUUCAGCGGGGAGGCGUUACCCGCAGAAGAAGCACCGGCUAACUCCGUGCCAGCAGCCGCGGUAAUAC